UUUUCCUUGACUUCUCAUUUGCUUAGUAGUUUCAACCGCAUUCCAAGCGACGAAACGCCUCUUAGAAGAUAAGUGAAUGCCAAAGCGAAACAGUCUCUCUGAAGCAAUCGUUUCGAAAGCGUUACAAAAAGUAAGUAGUCCUUCUCCAAUCUUCUUAAUUUAUGCAUACCCCUUUUUCUCUCUAUACCUCUCUCUUUCUCUCUCUCUGCCAUCAGUGUUUGCCAAAUUGAAACGCUCAUGGAUUUUCAUGUGGUCAGAGAGUAAUGUCUUAAAAGUAACGUACAACCUUCUCUAUUUAUUUUCUUUGGUUUUGAUCUUAUAAAGCUGAAUGAUGAAAGUGAGAUAGAUCAUCAAUUGAUCGAAGGAAGCCUGAGUUUAAGCGAAAAGUGACACCAAAUGGUGCUUACGGUGGUGUUGGGUAUGACUCUACAGUUGCAGUGUUGUCGUCGAGCUUCCAGGAAGAAACAGUGGCGGUGAUGAUCAGCUUAGUUGUCCACCGAAAUCUUUUGUGCCUGUGUGGAACUAAUAUGGGGUUGAAUACUUUGUGGAUUUCUUUUAAUGGUGGUCUGUCUUUUGGGUCAUGCAUAUCUCAAAGAAAAAUGAGAACCAUUCUACAGCUGCCGCACCUUACAUUGAGAUACAUGGUCAGAGCCAGUCCUUAACCAGCAUGGUUAUUUGCAGCAAGUCUCAGUCUGAAACUGAAAGCUAACCUCCUCCAAGCUCUUACAAGUGCAGUACAUAUUUGAAACCGGGUUAAUUUGACACCUACAGCAGUAUGCUUUUUCCCAGUUAGUGAGAAACAUUCUUUCUUACAUUUUUAAUCCUUUGAUGGGUAAGAAGUAACACAUAGCAUUAUACAUAUCAUAUUGUCAUUAAUCAUGAUUACAAGUUAAGAGCUGGAAUCUUAACAUUUAUAAUCUUAACAUGUACAGUUUGACACAGACAAAAGCAUACACAUCAAUUGUUAGCAUAUACAUGUUUCCUUGAUGGACUAGAAACACAUCUUUAAUUAAGAAGAAGAAAUAUUUUGUUGGUCAUGUUGAAGUUCUUUGCGUUCUUUGCUUUAAAGAAUUGUUAGUUAUAUCAGUAUUGAUAGAAGUCCUUCCUGGUGUGGAUUCUGAGUAGAGAUGACUUCCCUUCUCACCAAAAUGAUUUAUUUUAUUCAUUUGAAAAAGUGCAAUUACACGCAGGUAGAGAAGAUGUUAAAUGUGGUGUUACAAUUAUUUUUCCUCAAGGCAGUUAAACAUUGAUGUCAAAGAUUACGCGAAGAGCACCUUUUACCUUGCAGGCUAGAUCCAACUCGGGACCUAUUGGGCAGCAACACGUUGUAAGGCUACCAACUAUUAAUUCAGGUGCAUCACAAUUUAGUGAUCACCAUGCAUGUAUUAGCUCUCAACAAAAUCAGAUUAGUAUGAUAGUUGCUGAACACCAGCCUCAUAAUAAUUUAUCUUUCCGAUUGAGGCCCAUCAUGGUUUUAAUUAUAAGUUUCCAGACCUUUUUUUUGCCCAAUAGAAUCAUAGUUUUCACUU